rnacentral:rRNA from 1 species
AUUGCCCUAGUAACGGCGAGUGAAGCGGCAACAGCUCAAAUUUGAAAUCUGGCCUUCGGGUCCGAGUUGUAAUUUGUAGAGGAUGCUUUUGGUGAGGUACCUUCCGAGUUCCCUGGAACGGGACGCCAUAGAGGGUGAGAGCCCCGUCUGGUUGGAUACCGAUCCUCUGUAAAGCUCCUUCGACGAGUCGAGUAGUUUGGGAAUGCUGCUCUAAAUGGGAGGUAUAUGUCUUCUAAAGCUAAAUAUUGGCCAGAGACCGAUAGCGCACAAGUAGAGUGAUCGAAAGAUGAAAAGCACUUUGAAAAGAGAGUUAAAAAGUACGUGAAAUUGUUGAAAGGGAAGCGCUCAUGACCAGACUUGGGCUUGGUUGAUCAUCCAGGGUUCUCCCUGGUGCACUCUUCCAGCCCAGGCCAGCAUCAGUUCGCUGUGGGGGAUAAAGGCUUCGGGAAUGUGGCUCCUCCGGGAGUGUUAUAGCCCGCUGCGUAAUACCCUGUGGUGGACUGAGGUUCGCGCAUCUGCAAGGAUGCUGGCGUAAUGGUCAUCAGCGACCCGUCUUGAAACACGGACCAAGGAGUCGUCUUCGUAUGCGAGUGUUCGGGUGUUAAACCCCUACGCGUAAUGAAAGUGAACGCAGGUGAGAGCUUCGGCGCAUCAUCGACCGAUCCUGAUGUUCUCGGAUGGAUUUGAGUAAGAGCAUACGGGGCCGGACCCGAAAGAAGGUGAACUAUGCCUGUAUAGGGUGAAGCCAGAGGAAACUCUGGUGGAGGCUCGCAGCGGUUCUGACGUGCAAAUCGAUCGUCAAAUAUGGGCAUGGGGGCGAAAGACUAAU